GCUGAAAUGGCUCAGCCAGGAGAGGAUUAGACUGAGGAUCUAAAGGUCCCUGGUUUGAUCCCGGGUUUCAACA